GAGGACCUCAGAAAAUACUACUCUGGGAUUGAUGGGAAACUCCAGAGAAGAUUGCUCAGAGCUACAGAGUGACUUACCAACUAUCUAGAAGUGGGUGGAUAUAAAUGAGGUUAGCAGCAUCCAACAGCAGAGGGAGCUCUCUGAGAGGAAGAAGGAAAGAAAAGCUGACAGUCUGGCAAAGGUUUAUUGCCGGGGCGGGGACCAGGCCUGGCAGAUGAAGAGAGAGCCCAGGGAAACGGGUUAGUGAGGAAUAACUUGUGGUCCUUUUGGUCUCGCCUACACAGUUUAUGCAAGGCCAAACAGCAAGAGAGUCAGGAGCUGCUGCAUAUAAAAAAUAAAUUAAAUCCUUUUUCUGAUGCUCUGCCUACUCCCAGACCUUGCAGGACCUUGCCUUGCAAGCCUAACAUGACAAGGUAUUGUGUGUCCUCAUUCACUUCAGGUGGGAGAUGCACUCAUCAUCUUGCAGGUUCAGGGCUGUGGUAUUUUGCUCCCACAUCCACCCUUUCCGGCUCGCCCUCCUCCCCCACCUCUUCUCCUCCUGCUCUGGAAGUGCUGCCCAGCUGUGCCUCUUGUUACAUAUGUGUGACUUGGCUAUUUUUAAACUUUCUUCCUCUUUAAAAAUAUUAACUCAAGAGACUUUAAUGAUUAUAAUUUAGGUACUGUACUUAAAACAGGAGUGGGGGUGGGCAGGCAGUAAAGGUUCAAAGCUAGCACAACGCUAGUUAAGUGCUUUGGAAAGCUACAGCUGACUGGCCAUUUUUAAAAAAACUACCAUCUUCCCCCUUAACCAUGCAAUGCAAUUUAUUUUUGUGUCAUGCACAUUCUGCACAGUGCCACAGACCCUUUGCAGAGAAACUCCGUCACAAACUGAAGGGGAAUGAGAGGGUAUCAGGCAAGAAUUGAAGUAGGGAACAAUGACCCAAAUGUCCCAGAGGGAGGCAGGGAGACAGCUCCAGCUAGUUGGGCAGCCUGUGUUCUGACAGCCAAAAGCCUGUUGCAGUCCCCACUUAUUGUGGUCAGACAGUCUUUAACUUUCAUUUUCUAUUCAGCCAUUUAAAAUCAUGUGUAGCAGGUGAGGGAGGAGGAAGGAUAUGGGCCUUUCUAAGUUCAGUGCAAUGCAAAAUUUAAGAUGGGACAGCUAUGAGUGAGUGAAAGCCAUGACUGAAACAGGGCCUAAUUCAGGCCUGUUCCUGUGAGGUGCUGAGCGCUCUCAUCUCCCUUUGACUUCAGGGAGUUAAGGGUACUUUGCACACCACUAAACCAGGCACAAUGGAAGUAGAGUGAGUAUGCUUUGGGGACAUGGACAUAUACCAGAUCCUACACAAACAGAGGAGCAGCUGCCAUUUUGGAUGUCCGAAACCAACCCAAAACCUUAGCCCUCCUUCUGAGUAGGAGUCAUGCCCCUGCUGAGUUCACAGUGCUGCAAAUAACAGGCCCAGCAGUGGUGAAUGGGAUAUACAGACAGCAAACUACAUUUUCACAAGCAUAGCUCUUGCUCCUCUGCCACACCAAUCUUACUGUGGAUUUUGUGGGGUUUAAAACCUUUUAAUCAAUGAGUAUUAGCUAUAGAUGGUAAGCAAGCUGGGGCAGGGGUCAGCCUGUUUGCUAGGUGUACGUACAGCACCUUGCACAGUGGGCUGCUGAUCCCUUCCUGAGGCCUUUAGUACAAAUAAUAACUAAUCACCUUCAAUGUACAGCGAGAUGGCUCUGCCAGGAACUCAUGGUAAACUGAGUCAUGUCUGGGGUAUGUUACUGGUAUAAAAUUCGUUACAUGCGGGAGGAAUGUUUUAUAACCCUACCUAUUGCCUGCCUGCACUCAUCCCACACUCAGACUCUCAGGAGUAACUGGCGAUUUGUUACAUCUUGGAAGCAAGGUAGAACUUUUACUGUCAGCAGGAUUUUCUUUUUUUUACAGCAGUAAUCCCUCACUACUUUUCAAAGUUCAGGAUGAGGGCCUACGUAUCCCUUUGACCUUCUGUCAGUAUAAAUUGUGUUCUGGAUUCAGUUUUUUUUCACAUCAUGUUUGUUUUCUUUUAUUUUCACUUUGCAUUUUCUCUGCAUCCAAUAGUACAGUAAGAUGGCUGUACAAAAGCUCCUGGUGUCUUAUUAAGUAGCCAGUUAAUCACUAAUCCAUUGUAAUUUCUUUAGUGUUCUGUGUUCUGCUGCUUAAAUGUGCUUUGUAAGGUAUAAAUUUGGAACUUUGGAGCUGUUAUUUCAUUGCUUGUAGUUGCUUGCUAACAUUACCUAGCUUUCAAAUGUACUCAGUUCACACUUUUUAAAGGAGACUGACCAAUUGGUUUUAUCUUCCAUAGAAAUUCAUUUAAAAAAAGAAAUGAAAAUAUCAGAAAAACUAAGUAUUCAAUGUAACCAAGAACAGCAGACACAAACUACUUCUGGCAUCUUUACCUUCACUUGAAGAAAUUCACUGAACUGCUAUUUGCUAAUCCACACAAGUUAUUGACAGAUAAAAUAUAAGUUUCUUAUUUCAGCAAAGAUUUAAAAGCUGAAUGUUCAUAGCAGUGACGUCUCAUUGCAAAAACUCCAUUACUUUUACAAAAUACUGUAUAGCAGGUUGAGUAGUGAGAGAAUUGGUGGGUGCAACAGGGACGUAAGGGAGAAAUUAAGGAGGGUAAAGAUAUUAGAGAUUGUAAUUGAUUUAUUUGACAAUCUUCACAGGCUUCUUUGUACUCUUUUCAAGUACAAAGAAGAUAUAUGUCAGGUUGAUGUGUCCCCCCCCCAAACAGGAGGCACUGGAAUGAAUAAAUCAAGAGCCACAAGUCACCAGGAUUGUGCAGUAAUAUAUGCAAGUGUUCUGAAGGAACUUUGGUGUGCCUGAGCUUCUAACAAAUAUAUGCAAUCUGUCAUUGAAAUUGUCUGCUAUACCAGGGUUGGAGGGUAGCCCAGUGGGGUACCUAUGUUUACAGAAGGUGCUAGUGUGAGCCUGGAAAUUUCAGAACGGUGAGUCUUACUUCAGUGUGAAUAAAAUUGUUUGAAACAAGGAUUAAAAAGAGUAUUAUAAAACACCACGAUGAACAUGAUAGGAACAAACCAGCAAUAGUUCCGCAGAGCAAAAUUGUGCUUCUCUAAUAUACUAGAAUUCUCUGAGCAUGGUUGAGAGCUGGUUGACAUAAUUUAAUUAGACUUUCAAAAAGCUUUGCCAGUGUUCUGGUUACAGGGCCAGCUGUACUUUAGACUCCCUUCAGUCCCUCUUGAGUGCACCUUGACCUCAGGUAACACAUUGGCUUUCUGCCCUUCUCUCAAAGGGUGGAAUCCUUCAGUCCAAGCACUCUUUUUCCAGGCUGCAACCUCCCUUUUUUCCAACCCUGUUAGGACAACAGGUCCAACUGUGUCAGGCAUGGGUGGCGGGUAUCAAAAGCUGGGGGAGGCUGAGCCUCCACAAACAGCCCUGCGAGGCCCUACCCAUGCUCCACUUCAAGACCCCCUCUUACUUCCCGGGUGUUUUAUGGCUCUUUCCCUGGGGCCAGGGCCAAGGGCUGGGACUAGUGGGGGCCAGGUUGUGGCUAGGGACUCCAGGUGGCUGGAGCACGUGCUCACUCGGCGCUCGGAGGCUGGGGCAGGUGGUGGUGUUGGGACUCGGGUGGG